ncrna:Clostridium difficile QCD-76w55 HNH endonuclease-associated RNA and ORF (HEARO) RNA
GUCAAUAACCCACCUCUAAAGAGGUAGGCUUGAAGUUAUCUCCAAGUCGUAUUGACCAGAUUCAGUUUUAAACUACAUUAUUGAGGUCAUAACACCUACAAAUGCUUCUCCAGUUUGUAGCCUCUGUUGCAUAUUAUUAAACAGUUUGUGGGUACAGACAGUGUAAUAUGCUAUCAAGCCUUAAUAAUCUUAUCGAGGAGAGCAGUUU